rnacentral:rRNA from 1 species
AAGGAAUAUUGGACAAUGGUCGCAAGACUGAUCCAGCCAUGCCGCGUGCAGGAAGACGGCCCUAUGGGUUGUAAACUGCUUUUGUACCAGAGAAAACCUAUCUACGUGUAGAUAGCUGAUAGUAUGGUAAGAAUAAGCAUCGGCUAACUUCGUGCCAGCAGCCGCGGUAAGACGAAGGAUGCAAGCGUUAUCCGGAUUCAUUGGGUUUAAAGGGUGCGUAGGCGGGCUUGUAAGUCAGUGGUGAAAUCUCUUAGCUUAACUGAGAAACUGCCAUUGAUACUGCAGGCCUAGAGUAUAGAUGACGUUGGUGGAAUAUGACAUGUAGUGGUGAAAUACUUAGAUAUGUCAUAGAACACCGAUUGCGAAGGCAGCUAACGAAACUAUAACUGACGCUGAGGCACGAAAGUGCGGGGAUCAAACA